rnacentral:rRNA from 1 species
UACGUAGGGUGCGAGCGUUAAUCGGAAUUACUGGGCGUAAAGCGUGCGCAGGCGGUUUUUUAAGACAGGCGUGAAAUCCCCGGGCUCAACCUGGGAAUGGCGCUUGUGACUGGAAGGCUUGAGUAUGGCAGAGGGGGGUAGAAUUCCACGUGUAGCAGUGAAAUGCGUAGAGAUGUGGAGGAAUACCGAUGGCGAAGGCAGCCCCCUGGGCCAAUACUGACGCUCAUGCACGAAAGCGUGGGGAGCAAACAGG